CCCUUAGAUGUUCUGGGCCGCACGCGCGCUACACUGAUGCAUUCAACAAGUGAUUUGUCCUGGUCCGACGGGAUUCGGGUAAUCUUUCCAAUAUGCAUCGUGAUGGGGAUUGACCUUUGAAAUUGUAGGUCAUCAACGAGGAAUUCCUAGUAAGCGUAAGUCAUCAGCUUGCGCUGAUUAUGUCCCUGCCCUUUGUACACACCGCCCGUCGCUCCUACCGAUUUCGAGUGAUGCGAUGAAAUUUUUGGACCGUGUCGCCCCGGUGAUGUGGAAAAUCAAUUAAAUCUUAUCACUUAGAGGAAGGAGAANUCGUANCA
rnacentral:rRNA from 1 species